rnacentral:tRNA from 4 species
GGAGAGGUGGCAGAGUGGUUGAAUGCGCCGGUCUCGAAAACCGGUAACGGGUUUUCCCCGUUCGAGGGUUCGAAUCCCUCCCUCUCCGCCA